AACGAACGCUGGCGGCAGGCCUAACACAUGCAAGUCGAGCGAAGCCUUCGGGCUUAGCGGCGGACGGGUGAGUAACGCGUGGGAACGAGCCCUUUGGUACGGAAUAGCCCCGGGAAACUGGGAGUAAUACCGUAUGUGGUCGAGAGACGAAAGAUUUAUCGCCAAAGGAUCGGCCCGCGUUGGAUUAGGUAGUUGGUGGGGUAAUGGCAUACCAAGCCGACGAUCCAUAGCUGGUUUGAGAGGAUGAUCAGCCACACUGGGACUGAGACACGGCCCAGACUCCUACGGGAGGCAGCAGUGGGGAAUCUUAGACAAUGGGGGAAACCCUGAUCUAGCCAUGCCGCGUGAUCGAUGAAGGCCUUAGGGUUGUAAAGAUCUUUCAGUGGGGAAGAUAAUGACUGUACCCACAGAAGAAGCCCCGGCUAACUCCGUGCCAGCCGCCGCGGUAAUAC
rnacentral:rRNA from 1 species